UCACCUCCAGCAUCUGGACUGCAGAGAAUGCUUGGCUGACAAGAGCACUAAUUCCCAACCCUAGCAAGAGGCCGGAGAGUGGGAUGAGGUUAAUGAAGACACAAGCAGUUGGGGAAGUGAAAAGAGAGGGUGGAUUCACUUUGUUGACUUGGAAAGAGGACACCUGAAAAAAAAUAUUUUCUUAGCCUUUCUCCAUGUUGAUCCUACACGGAGGGCUGUGAGAACAUCAGUGGGAGAGGGGAGGCAACAUCCAGGAGAACAGAAUCUAGUGGCUGGAGAUGAAUGAGGGUCUCUGGGAUGAUGAGCUGCCAGGACAGCUGCAGGCAACAGCAGUUACCAGAGCCAAGAUCAAGAUUUGUCCGAGGAGAAAAAUGGGCCUCUCAGUGGCUGAUCCCUGAUAUGGAACUCCCUCCUGCACUGGACAUCAGAUUGACCCAAAGCUCAUCAUAUUCAGAGUGAGAAGUAGAACCCAUCUUUUUUCAAUAGCUUCAUCUCAGUAGUAAAUUCAACAGUAGCUCGGUGUGGAUAGACAGAAGAUGGGGUGGGGUAAAAAGGGAAGAGCAGCAAGGAGGUGAUACAAGAAUAAGGAGAGGAAAGAAGAGGAAACUGAUUAUAAUUAAUAAGAGUUUUAAAACUUUCAAGCAUACACCAAAACAGUGCUUAGGAUGAGAAUAGGUUGUUUUUUUUUGGUUGCUUGUAUGCGUAUGCAAAUUAAAUAGCCCUGAGAGACUGUGGUGGAUGGUAUAUUAUAAAUACCUGGUGUGCAGAUAGGUAGAUACUGAUAGAUAACUAGAUACUGCUGGAUAGAUAGAUAAAUAGCAAAAAUACUCCUGCGUAGACACAUGGCCCCGUCACAUAAUUCACUGACGGGUAUUAUUUCCCCUUGCUGGUGCUUAUUAAAUUCAAAAACAGUCCCGGGGGGGAAAAGAAAGGUGGCCCAUGAAAUGACUGUUUCCAUGCUACAUACAUUUUGAAAUACAGUUUAUAACAUGUAAGACUUAUCAAGUGUCCCCUGUGGUUAAUGUACUCCAAAAUGAAGCCAGAAGACACUCCCCACUUCAGGGAUCUUUAGCACCAUUGUCUAUCUUUGAAACUGAGACAAUGGGAGCAAUUUUAUGGUAAUCAGCAUAAAUAAAAUGUAUGUUUUUGCAA